GCUCCGGAGCUAUUCGUUGCUGUCGGUCAUUACCGUUAUCGCCAAUCGCUGCUGAACCUCCGGGCUCUCUUUCGCCGCCGUGGUCUCGCUGGCCGAUCAUUGCCAUUUUAUCGCUCACCGUUAGUCGUUUCUUAGGGGUCUGUUUUCUCAAGCAUUCUUGUCGAGGGAAAAAAAAAGGGAAAGAAGAAACAAGAAAGGAUAAGGGAGAAGAGAGGAAGUGACUGCUGGCAUGGAUAAACGCCGGUGAUUGUUUGAAAAUUUUGUUGGAGGGUUGAAACAUCUCACCAAAAAAGUUGGAAAGAAGUAGCAAUGAGUAACAUACUGUUUUAGACUGAUUUAUGGGUAUUGAUUUGAAGAGGAGCAAUCAACAAUGAGUUGGGUGAACUGCAGUUGUAGAAGAAGGCUAGAAGCAUAACCAGUUUGGAACAAUUUUUGGUUUCUGCAAAAGGGAGGCAAAAAUGUGAAGUUUAAUGCCAAAGAAGGUUUAACCAGUUUGUUGUGAAUUUUGGUAUUUUAUGUUGUUACAGGUGUCGCUUUACUAUGACUAGUAUUUACUAGUUGCAACUGCUAAUCCCAAGCCCCUCCCAUGACCUCAUCAUCUCAUCAGUACUUUUCUCUCAUGGAGCUUGCUCUUCCCAAACAAAUGAAGUAUAAUAUUAAGUGAAUAUCAAUUUGUAACUGUGCCCAUGCAUGAAAUACCCACCAAUGAAGCUCAAAACAGAAAGGAUCAUAGGAUGGAUGUUACCUUACAAAAGGAGUUUGAAGCUUACAGAAGAAGCUGCUGCCUUGGCAGUUCCUAAAUUGAAGAAAAAUCGCCAACCAUGACCGGUACCCACCUAAAAACCGAUCCAAUCCACAGGGAUGUUCUUAAAAAUACAAUAUUUUUAUUAGGGCUUAAAAUUUACAUCUCGAAUGAGUAGCCUAGUUGAUAAGAUUGAUGUUAUAACUCUCGGGGGUAUAGGUUGAGCGAUCGGAUAAGUAAUAUGUUAGUGUCAAUUUGGUG